AGGUUGUGGCACUCUGUGGGUUACUGACGGGAUUUGGAAACUUGUUUUUCUACAUUGCAUGCACAGACUGAAGUAUGUUGUGGACUGAAUUCCAUCAAUAUCUAUGCCAGAUGUGUGCACCUAUCCGCCAAUGCCUGGAAAAGCUUUUUGUCAGGAUCACUGCCAGUAUUUGGAGUCACAGGUACCACCAGUACCAACAGAUCUCAGGAGUUUUUUGAAGCACUGCAAAGUUCAAAAUGGAGAUGAUGUUUCGGUUAACUUUGAUGAAGAGAAAACAAUAGACACGGUUCUACAAAACACUACUUCUGAAAUUGAAAUAGGAAAAUCUGCAGCUAUUUCUCAAGGAACCCAUGAUCUACUAGCAACAAACCCAUCACUGUUGUCAAAGAGCCUUCAUGUUGCCAAACCGACGACAGAGUCUACAUGCAGAAUGUCGCAAAAUUACUGGAAAAGCAAAACGUCUCCGGAGCCUGUGGUCGAGGGGACACCAAUUUGUUGUGAGAGCAGGAGGCCAUAUAGAAGCUUGGCAACCAUUAUACAAGUGAGAACACGCAUGCAGUAUUAUGUACUGCACACAUAAUUAUGUGGAUGCGUUAUUUUAUAUAAUAUUAUACGUGCAGGUCGGAAUCACCAAUGCAAGUUUUUUUCAUCCUAAUCAAGUGGCUUCAAACGUUGAGUCAACAGACAAACUACCACUUUCUGCCAACUGCUAUAUGUACCUAGCGUAUGACAACAUGUGCAAUGUGAAUAGACUGAAGGUUGCAAGAGCAGCCUUACCAUUACCGCCCCCAAUGGACAAGGCAUGGCUCAAUAUCGAGAAGAUAAUUGACACGUUCCACCUUCCCAAUCAUGUAAACCCUGAAUGCCAUACGCUAUAUUCUCCUCAAAGGCUCAAAGAAAAGUGCCCUGACGCAAACACACAGGCUGGCGAGCAGACGUUUGUCUGGCUUGGUAGAUUUAAGCAUAUUCUGUGUGCAAUGAAUAAGCAGCACCAUCUAUUUUACCUGCACAGAAUGGUUCGAAGGAGGAAUGCAUACACAGUGAAAUGCUAUAAAGCUGGAAAAAAACCCAUUCUGCCAAGAUCCAAACUCUAAUUGACUCAUUCUCCUGAAUGCUGAAAUGCUAUAUACUUGCAUGCAUACCUAUGUAUUCCCUUUAACAAUCUCUCUAGUUCCGUGUAGCAAUCAUGCAAAUGUUCAUGCAAUGUUUGAUGAUCAGUGAUUCACUGGUCACUAGUCAAUUGGAAGGGAUGUUGCCACAAUGGAGCGAGCUAAUCUGAUGGCUUGAAUUGAUGAUCUUAUAGAAGUGAAAAUGAGAGGCAGAAUCUUAGCCAUCUCGGCCAAUUCAUUGCCGAGAUGUAGGAUUGCCCCAUUUGUGUACAAAUGUUAUUUGUCGAUGUUGCAGCAGGGCCAAGGACAUCACGAGUGGGGUGAAGGAUUUUGUGGAUUGGACUUUCAUACAUUCUGCUCAAUAGCCCAUCCGCAGCGAUGUUUUGGAGGACUCCUUAUGUGACGUUUGCUGCAUGUGGUCCCAGGAGGUGUUCUCCGGAGAUUGGCUGUAGGUGUGGUUCUGAUAGGAAGUUACGUUUCUGAUCUCGGUUGGGAAACUUCCCUUAGGGCAUAAAGACAGGCUGACCAUCUAUGGUUUGACGACGGUUUGAUAGAGAACUUGUACUCAGUGUUAAAUGAGAAGUGUGGGAGCCGGGCCGGGUAGGUACGUUGAAACCGAAUUCUGACACGGGGAGAGCAGUCAGGCAGCUUGAGGCACCUUUCUCCUAGGCUGAGUGUUUGUUUUGGGCUGGUAUAGUGUUUGUUUUGGGCUGGUAUAGUGUGUACGUACCUAGCUCCAGUUUGUGUGUAAUGAAAAUUUUCUAACAACUGGCCUUACCCAAACAGACCACACCCUUAAGCCAUCUCAAAUCAUGCAUCAAAUGAUCGAUUGAUACACAAAAGAAAGGGAUAGGCAACGCCUCACGUGAUGCUAGGUAAAUGCAGUGUGUGACGUCACACCCUCUGGUUGGAGGCAAGUUGCGCUCAAGAGUUUACACCAUGCUCCCGACUUCUGCUCAUAUCUCUUGUAGGGGACCAAAAUAGGAGAUUCCAAGCAGUCUUACAUCAUACAUAGGUGCCCCCUGAACUACUAAUUUUUACUGUUUGGAAUUUGGUUCAGAGAUAUACUAUAUUCUGGUGGAUUUGUAUGAAAAAACACUGAAUUAAUCGCUGUAAUCAUGCCACGGAAGCUACGAUUAUGUUCAAAGAAGAAGUAUGUACCUAAGAAGCAAACUAAGAGGAGCCAAGAAGCUACCAUACACCAAGACUUACAGGAAUUUUGUUCUGAUGAGUCCUCUCAAGCAGAUUCGCUGACACUAAAUGAUUUGUACGCAAAAAUGCACACAUUUUUACCUUCUUCCUGGAUAGACACAACUCAGUUAACGGAAGGAAACGUUUAUACGAUAAAGUUGUGCAAAAUUGAUUCCUUACCCUCAUCAUCAAGUCAGCCUCCCUUAGUAUCGCAUUCACUUCUAGUAAACAGAGAUUUAUCAUGGAAAUUGGUGAUUCAUGAUCUUGAAACUUUACCGAACCAUACAACUCUUAUCUCUAAGAUUCCAGCUAAUUUGAAUGUAAGCUCACUCAAAGAGCUAAUCCUAACCGUUGAAUCGCUACCUUUUGCCCAGGAAAUUCCGAUGAACAGUUUGUUGAAAUGGCGCAGGCAAAAAAAGGAAAGUUCAAAACAAAGAGAGGGGUAGUCAGAGCAUCUUUAAAAACUGGUGCCUUUACGGUAAACGACGAAGCCAUAUUUUCUGGAACAAUACGCACUUCCAGCUGCGAAAUUAUAACAAAAAGCGGAAGAUGCAAAUCUUGUAAUGCCUAUCGAAAGAAUUUACGCAUGGCCCAUAGUAGGUGGACGAAAAAGGGCAGCCCUCAGAAAUGUGCCAACGAUAGAUGUCUUAACACACCACAAAGAGUAAAAAAGUUGAAUACUUUACGUAGCAGAGUUUGUGUGGCCAAAAAAGAGGUAAAAAGGCUAAGAGCAAAGGUUGAAAAGUUAACCGAAAUGAAUGGUGUGACUGUAGAUGAGCCACUUCACAAUGAACUAAGCACCAUUGUAAGUGGUAAUGAUACCUCUAUUGAGAAGGACUUCCCUCAGGGUACAUUUCGAAGGCUAUUUUGGGAUGAACAGAAAAAGGCUGCAAAAGUUAAAAACGCUAGACAGAUGAGAUGGCAUCCGAUGAUGAUUAGAUGGUGUUUGAACCUGAAACUCCUAUCAACAAAAGCUUAUCACUCACUGCGAACUUCAGGUUUUAUUACAUUACCCUCAGAACGCACUCUAAGAGACUAUACUAACUACUUUAGUAGCAAACCUGGUUUACAACCGGAAGUUGACCUCAUGCUUGUUGAGGAAGCUUCCCUAGACAGCUCUCCUAAGUGGAGCAAGUACAUAGUAUUAUUGUUUGACGAAAUGAAAGUAAUGGAGAGCCUAGUAUAUGAUAAGCACACAUCUCAGGUAAUCGGCUUCACUGAGUUGGGAAAUCUUAACGAUCAGUUUGAUGAGUUGGAGAAACAAGAUAUCAAACCAUCAAUUGCCACACAUAUUCUUGGUAUUAUGGUCCGUGGAGUAUUUAGUAGCCUUCGAUUUCCCUAUGGUCACUUCCCUACUCAUGAUAUUAAAGGCACCAAACUCUAUUCUAUCGUAUGGGAAGCUAUUGAACGACUGGAAAGAUUAGGCUUCAAAGUAGUUGCUUUGACUUCUGAUGGUGCUAGCCCUAAUCGUAAAUUUUUUAACAUGCACUCUACAAAUAAAAAAGUAUGUUACAAGACCGCUAAUCCAUAUACGGAAGAGAAUAGAAACAUUUAUUUUUUUUCCGAUGUACCACAUCUUAUGAAGACCACGAGGAACUGUUAGUCGCAUUCCUUCUGCCACAACAACACAAGACAGCUCUGGAUAAAUGGAAAGCAUAUCAGUUGGACACACAUUAGGACCUUGUAUGAUGCUAAGCUUGCUCUCAGUGAAAAAUCGCAGGGACUUUAUCUGUUAAAGAAAUUGUCACGAGAGCACGUCUAUCUAAAAUCUUAUUCUAGAAUGCGAGUGGACCUUGCCGUACAAGCGCUGAGUACAACUGUUUCUAAGGGAAUGCAAUUUUAUGGGGGUGAUGAAACUACUGAAACGCAGAGAUUUAUCAAGAUGUUUGAUAAGUUUUUUGAUUGUCUCAAUGUACGCAGCCCUGAUGAGUAUCGACGUAAGAGAAAACCAGAUUUAAAACCCUAUACUUGUUCAUCUGACGAGCGCUUAACUUGGCUAGAAAGCGAUUUCUUGGGCUACCUUAAAGAGUGGGAAACAAGUGUGAAAGGUCGAGAAGGAUUUACAAAUGCUCAAAAGACUACGAUGAUGCUGAGUAGAGAAACACUUGAAGGAUUGCAUAUCACUGUACGGUCAUUCUGUGAGAUCACUCGUUAUCUACUUAGUAUUGAUGAGGGCAGGGUCCCAUAUCUUUUAAGUGAGCACUUUACGCAGGAUCCUAUCGAGAAUUAUUUUGGACAGCAACGGUCUCGUGGAGGGCGGUGCCAAAAUCCUACAGUGCAAGCAUGCAUUUCAUCUGCUCAAUCGCUACGAGUGCAAGGUAGCCUGGCAAUGAUGCCUCUGAGAGGUAAUUCUAGGCGCAAGAGAAGACUAAUUCCAGAUGAGGUAGUGGACGAACAACCUUUACGUAAACGACCCCGAAAAAAGAACUAAAUAACAAUUAAUUUUGUUUUUAAUUGAAGAUGUUUUUUAAAUGUAUUUAUACUGUUUAAAUUUGUUUUUAAAUGAUGAUGAUGAUGAUGUCAUAAUUAUACUGUUUGAUAACAAUUUUGUUUUUAAAUAA